UUGUACAAAGGUUAAAAAGCAACUACAAAUGAACCUUGCUGUAAUAUGCUUGCUUGUAAUCCUUGGGAUUUCUGAACCUAAGUUUCUGCUCUACAUGACCUUUUUUCUUUUCUCCAUUCAACCGGAACACCAGUAAUCUAUCAUAGUAUUCAAUGACAAUACGCCAAACUUUAACAACCUAGAAAUAAAUUCCAAGCAGCUCACCUAAAUUAAUUAGAAUCCAACAGCACACGAACAUACUUUGUUCCUCCUAUCACCAUUUGAGUAUUCAACUGAUACUCUAAAGUGCAAUGUCCUUACUCAAGAGUCCUAUAUGUACCUGCAAAGGGCAAAACUCCGCACAAUUCAAACUUCUAAUCAUCCUUGUCUAUAUACCAUUUUUCUGAUUCUAAAUACCAUUUCUUUUUUUGUCCAUCUAUUUCAAUUCAAUACUACUUCUACCAUGAAAUUACUGACAAUACUCGAAAAUUGUAACAAACCAGUAGAUAAAUCCUAAGUAACUCACCUAAACUAAGCAGAAUUCAAAAGAUGCGAUAUUCAGUUCCUUGUGUCACCAUCUGGCCAAUCAAUUAAAUUAGACUGAAUCCAAAAGAUGCGAUAUUUAGUUCCUUGUGUCACCAUCAGGCCAAUCAAUUAAAUCCCAAAGUGCAAUAUCCUUGUUUAUGACUCCUCUAAAUGCCUACAAAGGAACUAACUCUGCACAAUUAACACAGCAAACUUCUAACUAAACAUGGAAAGUUCUGGUUACCUUAAGCCUUGUAGAAUUCUAAAAAAUGUUUCCAAAUGAACCUUGUGGCAAUACUUGUAAUUCUUGGGAUUGCUCAAACAUAUUUUCUUUUCUCCACUUAUUUAACCAGAACACUACUAAUUGAUUAUAAAAUUCAUAGGCAAUACUUCAAAUAUCUAACAACUCAUAAAUAAAUUCCAAGUAAUCAAUUAGUUUGCAACAAGAUGCACAUACACUUUGUUCCUCCCAAAGUGCAACGUCCUUACAUACGAGUCCUAUAUAUACCAGCAAGGGAUAUAAAGUCUAAAAAAUUUCAAACUUAGUGUGUUCUUGCUACUCUUUGCCAUUAACCUUAUAGAAUCGUAAAAACCAACCUAUAAACCUUGGUGCAACAUGCUUUCUUGUAAUUCUUGGGAUUUCCAGAACCUAAGUUUCGGUUUCUAAUUAACCUUUUAUCUUUUCUCCAAAAGCACCACUUAUUAAAGUCAUUGACAACAUUCCAGAUUUUUUACAAACCCAAAUAGAUUCCUAGGAACUCACUGAAAUUAAUUAGAAUCCAAACAAAAUCACAAAAUCCAAUACAAUGUGCAUAUACUCUGUUCCACCCACCACCCAUCAUUUAAAUACUCAAAUCAAACGUCAAGUUGCAACUUCAUUACAUGAGAGUCCUAUAUUUGCCUGCAAAGGACAAAAAUCUGCACAAUUCAUCUAAAUCAUGACAAAACAACCUCCAAAUGAACCUUGGUGCAAUAUGCUCUCUAGUAAUUCUUGUGAUUUGUAGAACCUAAGUUUCAAUUUCUAAUUGACCCCUUUCUUUUCUACAAAACACUACUUAUCUACCAUUAAAAUCAUUGACAAUAUUCCAGAUUUUUAACAAACUCAGAUAGAUUCCAAGCAACUGACCUAGAUUAAUUAUAAUCAGGCAAAAUCUCAAAAUCCAACUUGCAUAGACAUUAUUCCACCUAUCACCCAUUUGAAUACUCAAAUCGAAUGCCAAAGUGCAACAUCAUUAAAUAAAAGUCCUAUAAUUGCCUACAAAGGACAAAACUCUGGCCAAUUUACCGAACUUCUCACUAAGCAUAAUAUGUUUUGUUUACUUAUUGCCUUAAACACUGUAGAAUGAUCAAAAACAACCUUUAAAAUGGACCUCACAACACUGUUCUUUCUUGUAAAUUUGGUUCUAGAAGGUCACUUUCAGAUUCUAAGUACCAAUUUUCUUAUCUCCAUUUAUUGCACCUGCAUACUUCUUGCCUACCACAAAAUCAUUGGUAAUACUCCAGAUUUAACAAAGCCACAGAAAAAUCCAAGUAACUCACCUAAAUUUAGAUAUGCAAUACUUAGUUCCUUGUGUCACCAUCUGGACAUUCAAUUUAAAUCCUAAAGUGCAACAUCCAUGUAUAUAAGUCCUCUAAAUUGCCUGCAAAGGAACCAAACUCUGCAGAACACCCGCAAACUACAAACUAAACUUGAUAUGUUCGGGUUACUCUUUGCCCUGAGCCCUGUAGAAUGGCAGAAACACAACCUCCAAAUAAACUUUGCCGAGAUAUACUCAAUUGUAAUCUUGGGAUUUCUCAAAACUAAGUUUCAUUCCCAAAUAACCUUUUUUUUUCCUUUUCUCUAUUUAUUUAACCAGAACAGUACUAAUUGAUCAUGAAUUUCAUUUGCGAUGCUCCAGAUAUUUACCAACCCACUAACAAAUUUCAAGCCACAAACCUAAAUUAGAACGAAUUCCAAAAGAUGCAAUACUUAGUUCCCCAUGUUACCUUAUGGAAAAUCAAUCUAAAUCCUGAAGUGAAAUGUCCUUGUAUACAAGUCCUCUAAAUGCCAGCGAAGGAACCAAACUCUGCACAACACCAACAAACUUCUAACUGAACUUUGUUUUUUCUAGUUACUCUUUGCCUUAAGAAUUGUAGAAUGGUGAAGAAACAACCUCCAAAAUGCUUUACUGUAAUAUUCUUACUUGUAAAUAAUGGAAUUUCUCAAACCCAUGUUUCUGUUUUACCUAACAUUUCUUCUUUUCUCCAUUUAUCUAACCGGAAUAGAAGCAAUCCAUUGUAAAAUUCGUUGGCAAUACUCCAAAUAUUUGAUAACCCAAAAAUAAAUUCCCUGUAACUCAUUUCAACCAAUUAAGACUAACAAGAUGCAACCUAAACUUUCCUCUUCGUGUCACAGUUUGAAUGUUCAAUUGAUACCUAAAAUGCAAUGUCUUCACAUAAAAGUCCUAUAUACACCUGCAAAGGGCAAAAUUCUAGACAAUUCUAAAUAGUACUUAUCUCAAUAUCAUUUUUUUGGAUUCUAAAAAUCAUUUUUACAUUCUCCAUUUAUUUCACCACAAUUAUACUUGUCUACUAUAAAAUUAAUGACAAUACUCAAUAUACCUAAGAAACACACAGAUAAAUCCCAAGUAACUCACCUAAAUCAGAUGGAAUCCAAAAGAUACAGCCCUUAGUUACUUGUGUCACCAUGUAAACAUUCAAUUUAAUCCUAAAGUGCAAUGUCCUUGUUUAUGAGUUCUCUAAAUGCCCACAAAGUAAUCAAAGUCUGCACGACACCAGCAAACUUCUAAUUAAACUUGGUAUGUUGUAGUUACUCUUUGCCUUAAGCCUUGUACAAAGGUUAAAAAGCAACUACAAAUGAACCUUGCUGUAAUAUGCUUGCUUGUAAUCCUUGGGAUUUCUGAACCUAAGUUUCUGCUCUACAUGACCUUUUUUCUUUUCUCCAUUUGUCAACCGGAACACCAGUAAUCUGUCAUAAUAUUCAAUGGCAAUACGCCAAACUUUAACAACCUAGAAAUAAAUUCCAAGCAGCUCACCUAAAUUAAUUAGAAUCCAACAGCACGCGCACAUACUUUGUUCCUCCUAUCACCAUUUGAGUAUUCAACUGAUACUCUAAAGUGUAAUGUCUUUACACAAAAGUCCUAUAUAUACACCUGCAAAGGGCAAAACUCGGCACAAUUCUUAAUAAUCCUUGUCUAUAUACUAUUUUUCAAGUUCUAAAUACCAUUUCUUUUUGCUUCAGCAAUUUCACCUCAAUACUACGAGUACCAUGAAAUUACUGACAAUACUCGAAAUUUGUAACAAACCAAUAGAGAAAUCCCAAGUAACUCAC
rnacentral:lncRNA from 1 species